GACAGAGGGGGCAAGCGUUGCUCGGAAUUACUGGGCGUAAAGGGCGCGUAGGCGGGAUGGCAAGUCGGUCGUGAAAUCCCUCGGCUCAACCGAGGAACGUCGAUCGAUACUGCUGUUCUUGAGGAUUGCAGAGGAGACUGGAAUUCCCGGUGUAGCGGUGAAAUGUGUAGAGAUCGGGAGGAACACCGGUGGCGAAGGCGGGUCUCUGGGCAAUUCCUGGCACUGAGGCGCGAAAGCGUGGGGAGCAAACAGG
rnacentral:rRNA from 1 species